rnacentral:rRNA from 1 species
UACGAAGGGGGCUAGCGUUGCUCGGAUUUACUGGGCGUAAAGGGCGCGUAGGCGGACGACCAAGUUGGGGGUGAAAGCCCGGGGCUCAACCUCGGAACUGCCUUCAAAACUGGUCGUCUUGAGUACGGGAGGGGUGUGUGGAACUCCGAGUGUAGAGGUGAAAUUCGUAGAUAUUCGGAAGAACACCAGUGGCGAAGGCGACACACUGGCCCGUUACUGACGCUGAGGCGCGAAAGCGUGGGGAGCAAACAGG